GCAAGAUAUCUCAACAUUCAAGAUUUUCAAAGAAAUUUUAUUCAUACUUUUGAAUUUCUAUUUUACUUAAUUAUUCGUACUAUGAGAAUAUAGAGCCACAUGACUUUUCUUAAUAAUAAUGGGUACUAACUAGUUCAACUCUUUACAUUUCUUAAUUUUAAAUUUUGCUAGGCUGGGUGCAGUGGCUCACGCCUAUAAUCCCAGCACUUUGCGGGGGCCGAGGCGGGUGGAUCACUUGAGGUCAGGAGUUGGAGACCAGCCUGGCCAUAAGCUUCAAUUUAAGCAUAAAUAAUAAUUUAAGAUGUAUCCUUGAUCUAUUGUGCAGCCCUUAGCAAAAAGCCUUGAAUCGUUAGGUGAUAUCUCAUUAGAACAGCGGCUUAAUUUCAAUAUUGAAGCUGCUCUCCAAACAAUGAAGAAAAGCAGAAAUCUCUACAUUUUCUAUUUCUCAACCACUCCCAGUGCUCAUUUAUAGGAAUUACCCCUAAAUUUUCCCAGUUAACCUUUCAGGGAAACACAAACCCACAGCCACAGAAAACUUUCGUCUCUCUACACUUAUACUCUCUUACUUAUACUCACUGCCUCUACACAGUCAUAUUCACUCUCUACACACUCCUCUCUUUUCCCAAGAAAGAGCUCUGUUACAGGCAGAGGAGAAAAUGGAGUGCCCUAGGAUACACAAUGGGGCCACUGUACUAAAAGGUGGAGCUUUUAGUAGAAGUAGAGGUAUUAUAAAUAGAACUGAAGAGGGGAAGCUUUUCUCCCUCCAAUCUCUAUGAUCUUUAUUCCUGGCCUUAGAGUUACUGUAAAUCCCAGAUAUUGGGGCUCCUCCAACUUGGGAGGGGUGGAGGUUAUGGAGGAAACAGGAUGGAACCAAACCAAAAAGGCAAACUGGGUCUAGCGCUAGAGGGGAAAGAGGGGCCCUCGGAACACACAAGAUACAGGCCGGUUCACCAAGGUAGGAGAAAGAACUGGAAGAGGUUAAUAGCUCACUAAUAACGAAGAGCAUGCCAUUUGUCCUUGGUGCACUCACAACACUUUUUAGGGGUGGCAGCAGCCACAUAGGUGGCUGACAGGGAUUCUAGUCCUCUUUUCUCACCAUAACAUUCCCAGGCUUCUUUCCUUUGUCCUCUCUAGUUUACAAUCUAAAUAGGUGCUUCCAACCUUGAUUUUUUAAAAUCAAAGCCUUAAACAACAACAAAAAUCACCACACCCAGUUUUAUGAUUGCCUCCAUAAAAUAGACCAGGCACCUUUCCAUGAUGCCAGGCCAAUGGGCAGGGUGUGCUAGGGUAAUAUGCCACUAUUAUGCCCUCCCUUAAAAAAAAAAAAAAAAACCUGAAGAUCAUCACAAAUGUCUCCACUGCCUUUUUUUUUUUUUUUUUUUUUUGAGACAGAGUUUUACUCUUGAUGCCCAGGCUGGAGUGCAAUGGCACUGUCUCAGCUUACCGCAAGCUCUGCCUCCCGGGUUCAAGCAAUUCUCCUGCCUCAGCCUCCCGAGUAGCUGGGAUUACAGGCACCCGCCACCACGCCCGACUAAUUUUGUAUUUUUAGUAGAGACGGGGGUUUCUCCAUGUUGGUCAGGCUGGUCUCGAACUCCCGACCGCCAGGUGAUCCGCCCACCUCAGCUUUCCAAAGUGCUGGGAUUACAGGCGUGAGCCACCGGGCCAGGUCAGUUACUCCUUAAGUAUGCAAAAGCACUCAACAAAAAAACACCUCAGGGGAUCAUGCCUGCUGGGUGGUCUUUAAAGGAAAUGGGCUACUUUCCUAUACUGGAAAAAAACACCUGACAGAAAAAAAGACGCUCUAGAGUAGCUGAAAAUAAAAUGCCUGGCUAAUGCAGAACCUGAUGAAGAAAUAGGAUGAAGUGUAACAUUCUACUGAGGUCAUGAUAUCCCAGCAUAAGGCAGAGUUUUAAAUCUUGUUUCUCAACAGGGGGAGGAGUGGGGGCCAAUUCAAAUGUCACCUACUCCCCAGGCAAAAUUAAUCACUUCCUCAUUUAUUAUAUUUCCCAGUAGUACUUUUAGAAACCAGGUAUCUUCAGAAAUAAGUCUUACUGUCUAGUAAGUACAACAUUUUCAAGAAAUAAGUCCCAAUUUUUUUUAUAUUUAAAUGCCUCUGAAAUCAGGAUAGGUCUUACAAUCAGUGUUAAGAGAAACUAGCCAGCUACCAGGAGAAAAGUAGAUGGAGAAGUAACACAAUUGUUGACAUAGUUUGGAUAUUGGUCCCCAUCCAAAUCUCAUGUUGAACUAUAAUCCCCAGUGUUGGAGAUGGGGCCUGGUGGGAGGUGAUUGGAUCAUGGGGGCGGUUUUCUCUUGAAUGGUUUAGCACCAUUCCCUUGCUGCUGUUCUUGUGAUAGGGAGUGAGUUUUCAUGAGAUCUGGUCAUUUAAGAGUGUGUGGCACUCUGUCUCUCACUCUUGAUUUCACCAUGUGAUGCGCCUCCUCCCCAUUCACCUUCCACCAUGAUUGGAAGCUUCCUAGGCCUCCCCAGAAGCAGAUGCCACUAUGCUUCCUGUACAGUCUUCAGAACCGUGAGCCAAUUAAAUUUCUUUUCUUAUAAAUUACCCAGUCUCAGCCAGGCACAGUGGCUCACACCUAUAAUCCCAGCACUUUGGGAGGCAGAGGUGGGUGGAUCACUUGAGGUCAGGAGUUCAAGACCAGCCUGAUCAACACAAUGAAACCCCAUCUCUACUAAAAAAAGAAAAAAAAAUAGCAAGGUGUGAUGGUGUGUGCCUAUAAUCCCAGCUACUCCGGAGGCUGAGGCAGGAGGAUCACUUGAACCCAGGAAGUGGAAGUUGCAGUGAGCCAAGAUUGCACCACUGCACUCCAGCCUGGGUAACAGAGCAAGACUCUGUCUCAGAAAAAGGAAAAGGAAUUACCCAGUCUCAGGUAUUUCUUUCUAGCAAUGCAAAAAUGGACCAACACAGAAAAUUGGUACCAAGGAGUAGGGCACUGCCAUAAAGAUACCUGAAAAUGUGGAACCGACUUUGCAACUGGGUAACAAGUAUAGGUUGGAAGAGUUUGGAGGGCUCAGAAGAAGAUAGGAAGGUGAGGGAAAGUUUGGAACUUCUUAGAGACUGGUUAAAUAGUUUCAACCAAAAUGCUGAUAGUGAUAUGGACAAUGAAGGCCAGGCUGACAAGGUCUCAGAUGGAAGUGAGAAACUUCUUGAGAACUAAAACAAAGGUCACAUUUGUUGUGUCUUAGCAAAGAGCUUGGCUGUGUUCUGUCCACGCCCUAGGGAUCUGUGGAACUUUUAACUAAAGGGUGAUGAUCUAAGUGUCUGACAGAAGAAUUUUUUUUUUUUUUUUUUGAGACUGAGUCUCGCUCUGUCACCCAGGCUGGAGUGCAGUGGUGCAUCUUGGCUCACUGCAACCUCUGCCUCCCGGGUUCAAGCAAUUCUCAUGCCUCAGCCUCCUGAGUAGCAGGGAUUACAGGCACCCACCACCAUGCCCAGCUAAUUUUUGUAUUUUUAAUAGAGAUGAGAUUUCACCAUGUUGACCAGGCUGGUCUCGAACUCCUGACCUCAGGUGAUCCGCCCACCUCAGCCUCCCAAAGUGCUGGGAUUACAGGCAUAAGCCACCACACCUGGCCAGCAGAAGAAAUUUCUCAGCAGCAAAGCAUUGAAGUUGUGGCAUGGCUGCUUCUGACAGCCUAACUUAAAUGUGGGAGCAAAGAAAUGACUUAAAGUUGGAAUUUAUAUUUAAACAGGAAGCACAGCAUAAAAGUUUGAAAAAUUUGCAGCCUGGCUAUGUGGCAAAGAAAGAAAAAGCUUUUUCAGGAGAGGAAUUCAAGCAGGCUGUGGAGAGCCACCAUUUGCUAGACAAAUUUGCUUGACUAAAAAGGACCCAAGAACUAAUUCCAAAGACAAUGGGAAAAAGACCUCAAAGGCAUUUUAGAGACCUUCAUGGCAGCCUCUCCCAUUAUAUGCCCAGUGGCCUAGGAGGGAAGAAUGGUUUCCUGGACCAAGCCCAGGGCCCUGCUGCCCUGCACAGCCUUGGGACACUGCUUCCCACAUCCAGGCUGCUCCACCUCUACCCACAGCUCAAAGGGGCCCAAGUACAGCUUGGGCUGCAGUUCCAGAUGGUGGAAGCCAAAAGCCUUGGUGGCUUCCAUGUAGUGUUAAGCCUGCGGUGUACAGAGCACAAGACUUGAGGUUUGCCACCCUCCACCUUGAUUUCAGAGGAUGUAUGGACAAGUCUGGGUGUCCAGGCAGAAGACUGCUGCAGGGGUGGAGCCUUCACAGAGAACCUCUACUAGGUCAAUGCCAAGGGGAAUUGUAAGGUUGGCACACUGAUAUGGUUUGGCUGUGUCCCCACACAAAUCUCACCUUGAUUUGUAACAAUCUCCACGUGUCAAAGGUGGGGCCAGGUGGAGAUAAUUAAAUCGUGGCAGUGGUUUCCCUCAUACUAUUCUAGUGGUAGUGAAUAAGUUCCCUGAGAUCUGAUGGUUUUAUAAAUGGGAGUUGCACUGCACAAGCUCUCUUGUCUGCUGCCAUAUAAGAUUUGACUUUGCCCCUCAUUUGCCUUCUGCCAUGGUUGUGAGCCCCACCCCACGGUGGAACUGUGAGUCAAUUAAACCCCUUUCCUUUAUAAAUUACCCAGUCUCGGGUAUGUCUUUAUUAGCAGUGUGAGAACAGAUUAAUACACAUUCCCCACACAGAGUUCCCAAUGGGGCACACUGCCUAGUGGAGCUGUGAGAAGAGGGCCACCAUCCUCCAGAUCCAAGAAUGGUAGAUCCAACAGCAGCUUGCACCCUGUGCCUGGCAAAGCCACAGGCACUCAACUCGAGCCCAUGAGAGCAGUCAUGGGUGAUGAAUCCUGCAAAGCCACAGGGACAGAGCUGCUCCAUGCCUUGGGAGCCCACCCACUGCACCGGUAUGCCCAGCAUAUGGGACAUGGAGUCAAAGAUUAUGUUAGAGCUUUAAGAUCUAAUGACUGCCCUUCCAGCUUUCAAACUUGCAUGGGGCCUGUAGCACCUUUCUUGUUGGCUGAUUUCUCCAUUCUGAAAUGGGAAUGUUUAUCCAAUGCUUGUACUAUAACUGUCAGGCCUCACAGGAUAGCUUUUCAGGAAAUUGUAACCAUGCUGUGUAGGCAGAAUUCUGAGAUGACUGCCCAAGAUUCCCAAUCCUUGGCUAUUCAAUCAAACACUAAUCUAGGCACUAUUUUGAAGGGAUUUUGCAGAUGCAAUUAAGGCACUAAACAGUUGAUCUUAAGAUGGGGAAAUUAUCCUGGUCAUCACAUGAGCCAUUUAUAAGUAGAGAGAUUCCUUUAGCUGGCAAAAGAAGUCAGAGACUCAAAGCAUGGGAUGGUUCAAUGGGCCAUUGCUGGUAUUGAAUAUGGAGGGGUCCACAUGGAAAGGACUUGAGAGCAGCCUCGAGAAGCUAAGAGUGGCCCCUGACUGAUAGUCAGCAAGGAAACAGGGACCUCAGACCUAUAACUGCAAGGAACUUGAUUCUACCUAUAGCCUAAAUGAGCUUGGAAGCAGAUUCUCCUCACAGUCUCAAGAUAAGUCCUUAAUCUAGUGGAUAUUUUAAUCUUGACCUUGUAAGACUCUGAGCAAAGAACCCAGUCAAGCUUGCCUGUACUUCAAUAGAAAACUAAUACAUACACUUAAGGAAACUUGAGUGUGUGGGGAGGGGGUUGGGGUGGCUUAUAAGUAAUGUUACCAAACAUGCUAAUGGUAAACUUUUGUAUAAAAAGGCCUAUGAGCUAGCUGGAUACCCUGCUUCUCUCUGAUAGGACUAACUCCAUAUAGUUCAUGAGUCUUUUGAGCAGAUGUAGUUCGUAAUAAAUCCGAUACUCCAUUUGGUCUAUGUAAUUACUGAUCUUCUUUGUUUCUCUAUACUUUGAACACCUUGGGCAAAGAGAUAGAACACCUUGUUCUAGAAAUAGAACAAAGGGUCAGUAAACUUCAGAAUACCAUCAAGUGGCUGUCUGUCAAGUACCAGUUUUCAUCUUUGUGAAACUUCAAGUGUUACCUAUCACUGCUUAACUCCUUAACCAACUCAUUUGAGAGAAACCUAUUUCAUCUUGUCCUAAAGAUAUUCAGAUAUUCCGGAUCUUGUGUUUAAGCACAGCUCCUGCCAGAUAUUCCAACUUCAGCCAUUUCUUCAACUCUUGGUUUUUCAGAUGGAGGAAAAGUUUUGAACUACCUGUUGGUAGUUGCAGCUAUUUACCAACUGCUUACCAUGUUCCAGAAAAUGCUAGGUGCUUUAUUUAUAUUGUCUCAUUUAAUCUUCACAAUAACCCUAUGAGGAAAUAUAAUUAUCCUCAUUUUACAAAUGAGAAAACAGGCACAAAGAGGUUAGAUAUUUUGCUUAAGGCCAUAAGAUUCAGAGUUAGGAUCAAGCUUCCAUCUCUCUGAUUCUAAAAUCUCUGUCAAAUCAUCAUUCAACACCGUGUCCUAGUUUAUGGACAGCAUAUCAAUGAGCAGGUGUUCAUUCACUUCUUAAAUAUGCCUAAUUGCCUCUGAAAACCUUUCAACAAACAUUUGUGAACACCCAUAUCCUAGUCUAGGAACAAUAUAUAAAAACAGAGACCCGGAAGUUGUGGGAGGAAGCCAGGAAGUCAGCCCAGAAUGGAGUUGGGGCAUUGGUUUCCGGGCUGGGGUUAGAAUAGGCCACAAGGUUCUACUGCAGUCUCAAGGCCUAAGACAAAGGACAAAUCUAAAGAUUCAUCAAGAGACAGAAAUCGCUCAUAGGAAUCAUGAGCUCAUUGGAGAGUCAGACCAAAGUAUGGGGAAAGAGCGGUAAACGAGGCAGGGAACACCAGACCCCAUCACAGGGUCAGAACCUGAGACAAGCCUGCAUGGCAGGGUUCCCCACGGCAAACCCCUGAAACAUCUACAGGGAUGACAAUGGGUUACUAGUAACAACAGCUAACUCAUAAUGAGUGCCCCUUAGGUCCAGUUGUAAGUAUUUGAUCUCAUUUGACCUUCACAACAAUCCUAUGAGGUAGGAACUACUAGAAUUUUCAAUUUAAGGAUAAGGAAACUGAAAUCAGAAAGGUUAACAAUGUUCCAAAAAUUACACAACUAGUUAGUGACAUACUCAGUAUUCAAACUGCAUUGGACCCAAAGCCCACAUAUGUGAACGCUAUUCUCCACUAAUGCACAUGAGGACCUAGAGGGCUGAGUUGAAAGAUUUGUGAGGCCACAUCCACCAAAGAAUGUGAUGGACAUAGACCUGACAAAGCACUCUCAAGAAGCUUUCAGACAUCAAGAUAGAGAUCUAGGAGCACAGAUAAGAGAACAGUUGAUGGGUCGGGUGCGGUGGCUCAGGCCUGUAAUCCUAACACUUUGGGAGGCUGAGGCGGGCAGAUCAUGAGGUCAAGAGAUGGAGACCAUCCUCGUUAACACGGUGAAACCCGUCUCUAUUAAAAAUACACAAAUUAGCUGCGCCAGGUAGCAGGUGCCUGUAGUCCCAGCUACUCGGGAGGCUGAGGCGGGAGAAUGGCGUGAACCCAGGAGGCGGAGGUUGCAGUGAGCCGAGAUCACGCCACUGCACUCCAGCCUGAACGACAGAGCGAGACUCCGUCUCAAAAAAAAAAAAAAAAAAAGACUUUGCAGGGAAGACCUAUGAAAAGGGUGAGAAAGGGCACAAGUUGCAGUAACAGUGUAAACAAAGCCAGAAAAAUUGCAAAGGUGUGUGCGUGUGUGAUCAUGCCCUGAUUCUUGUAUAGUUAAUUUCACCCCAGGCUUCUCAAACAGCACAGCCACAUGAUGUUUCAAAAAGUCCAAGUGGAACCUCUUCGGAAAGAUGCCCCACCAUUGGCAGAGGCUGUGACCUUUUUCCUCAGGUACCAGGGGUUGCUACAUGGGGAAUGGGUGGACACUGGGCUGUAAAUACUGCGUCUGGAAUUUAUUCCUUUUGGUGGAUGCUUGGUCUCGCUGACUUCAAGAAUGAAACCACGGACCUUCACGGUGAGCGUUACAGCUCUUAAAGAUGGUGUGUCCGGAGUUUGUUCCUUCAGAUGUUCAGAUGUGUCCGGAGUUUCUUCCUUCCAGUGGGUUCGUGGUCUCACUGACUUCAGGAGUGAAGCCGCACACCUUCGCAGUGAGUGUUACAGCUCUUAAAGGUGGCUCAUCUGGAGUUGUUUGUUCCUCCCGGUGGGUUUGUGGUCUUGCUGACUUCAGGAAUGCAGCCGCAGACCCUCGCAUUGAGUGUUACAGCUCAUGAAGGUAGUGCGGACCCAGAGUGAGCAGCAGCAAGAUUUACUGUGAAGAGCGAAAGAACAAAGCUUCCACAGCAUGGAAGGGCACCCGAGUGGGUUGCCUGCUGCUGGCUUCGCUGGCCAGCUUUUAUUGCCUUAUUUGGCCCCACCCACAUCCUGCUGAUUAGUCCAUUUUACAGAGUGCUGACUGGUGCGUUUACAGUCCUUUAGCUAGACACAGAGUGCUGAUUGGUGCGUUUUUACAGUGUGCUGAUUGGUGCAUUUACAAUACUUUAGCUAGACAAAGAGUGCUGAUUGGUGCGUUUUUAAUCCUCUAGCUAGACAGAAAAGUUUUCCAAGUCCCCACCCAACCUAGAAGCCCAGCUGGCUUCACCUCUCAAUACCUUCUUUCUUUAUCACUCCUCAUUUUCUUUACGACUGAUAUUUGGGUGGUAGAAAGCUCACAUCCUUUAUGGAAAGUCACCUUCCUAUAAGCUCCUCUGGAAGUAGAGUACAGAAAAAUCUAACUAGGCCUCUCAUGAGAUUACAAGCAAUGAGUGACAUUUCUACUACAACUUAUAAUGCCAGUGCAGGGCAAGGUAGAAACUGCAAGACUUCAGUCACUAUUCAGUUAUGUAAAGACUAACACGUGGGCACAGUGGCUCACGCCUGUAAUCCUAGCACUUUGGGAGGCCAUGGCAGGAAGAUUGCUUGAGCCCAGCAGUUGGAUACCAGCCUGUGCAACAUGGUGAGACACCAUCUCUACAAAAAAUAAAAAAAAUUAGCUGGGCGUAGUGGUGCAUGCCUGUGGCCCCAGCUACUGGGGAGGCUGAGGUGGGAAGAUCACUUGAGCUGGGGAGGUCGAGGCUGCAGGGAGCUGUGAUUGCACCACUGCGUUCCAGCCUGGGAGACAGAGCAAGAACUUGUCUCAAAAGAAAAAAAAAAAAAGAGCUAGACAAGGUGGCUCACUCCUGUAAUCUCAGCACUUUGAGAGGCCGAGGCAGGUGGAACCCCUCAGGUCAGGAGGUCCAAACCAGUGUAGCCAACAUGGUGAAAUUCUGUCUCUACUAAAAAUACAAAAAUUAGCCAGGCAUGGUGGCAUGCAUCUGUAGUCCCAGCUAUUUGGGAAGCUGAGGCAGGAGAAUUGCUUGAACCCGGGAGGCGGAGCUUGCAGCGAGCCAAGAUCACACCACUGCACUCCAGCCUGGGCAACAGAGCAAGACUCUGUCUCAAAAAAAUUUUAAAAAAAUUAAAAAAAAAGACUAACACAGGAAAAAACGGGAGAGACAUAUAGCUAUGGAGCAAUGUUCCUCCCUAAGACUCCAGUCAGUUCAUUGACACAUGUCCAGUUUGAAUUUUUUUUUUUUUUUAAAAGAAAGGCCAGGUUGUACCACCUUCCUUACAAUACAGAAACAAGCUCUCUCAACCACAAGCAUCAAUGACAUUAUCCAGUUUCGUGGAAUCACUGGCAAUGCCCCCAUGUAUCAGAAUGUCUUCUGUGGCUGAAUUUACAUGUGAAGGUUAAUUAAACAAAGCUUUAUUUCAGUAUCAUGGCUUGUUUGCAUUUACUCAUUCAUGUACCAACUGGCAUAAGUGAUACCUCCUCCAGGGAGCCUUCCUUGACUCUCAAGAUAGCCCUUCUCUGGCUGACAUAUACUUCUUGUAUUGAAACUAUGUGUCUGGGCCGGGCAUGGUGGCUCACACCUGUAAUCCCAGCACUUUGGGAGGCCGAGGCAGGCGGAUCACCUGAGUUCAGGAGUUUGAGACCAGCCUGGCCAACAUGGCAAAAGCCUGUCUCUACUAAAAAUACAAAAAUUAGGUGGGUGUGGUGGCGCAUUACUGUAAUCCCAGCUACUGGGGAGUCAGAGGCAGGAGAAUCGCUUGAACCCAGGAGGUGGAGGUUGUGGUGAGCUGAGAUCACCUCACUGCAUUCCGGCCUGAAGGACAGAGUGAGACUCUGUCUCAAAAAAAAAAAAAAAAAGAAAAAAGAAAGAAAGAAACUGUGUGUCUGUAUGUCUGUUUCCCACAACCACUCUGUGCUCCUCAAGAGAACUGUCAUGUUUAUACCUGUAUCCCCAGCACCCUCAACUAGGCCUGGAUAUAAGAGGUAAUGAGUGUUUACUGAAUUAAAUUGAAUAAAUUAGAGAGAUACAAUGUGGGGUUCGACGUGUGUCCAUAUAUUCUGUUUGUAACAUGCCUCUGACUCUGGAGAGGGAAGACAGGCUAUGCUGGCACCUAGACUCAGGCUUAGGUGCUAACAUUUAGAUGCUUCAGGUUUCCUUCAGUUGAGCCCAAGUCACCUGGAUAAGGAAAUUUAUGUAUUUUUAGUACAUAAGUGACAGAUUCAGGGCAAACUCAGUAAUAAAAGCAAGCUUCUGGCUUCAAGAUCCCAAGAGAUUUUCUCUUAAAGAGUUUGGGCUGGACGCAGUGGCUCAAGCCUGUAAUCCCAGCACUUUGGGAGGCCGAGGCGGGCAGAUCACGAGGUCAGGAGUUCAAAACCAGCCUGGCCAAAAUGGUGAAACCCCACCUCUACUAAAAAUACAAAAAUUAGACCGGGUGUGGUGGCUCAGACCGGGCGCGGUGGCUCAGACCGGGCGCGGUGGCUCACGCCUGUAAUCCCAGCACUUUGGGAGGCCGAGGAGGGCGGAUCAUCUGAGGUCAGGAGUUCGAGACCAGCCUGGCCAACAUGGUGAAACCCCGUCUCUUCUAAAAAUACAAAAAUUAGCCGGGCAUGGUGGCAGUUGCCUAUAAUCCCAGCUACUCGGGAGGCUGAGGCAGGAGAAUUGCCUGAAUACAGGAGGCGGAGGUUGCAGUGAGCCAAGAUCAUGCCACUGCAUACCAGCCUGGGCAACAGAGCAAGACUCCAUCUCAAAAAAAAAAAAAAAAGAAUUUUAUAGGCAACUAAAAUGGGUGGGACCAACCUGCCAUCCCAGCUACAGAGAGAAAAGCCAAACAUUAGUGGACUGGGACCUUACUGUGGAUGAAGAAUCUAGUAUCUGGGGCGGAAAGCAAGGUCCUCCCAGGAGAAGAGCAAGAAAGGAAGGUUGAUGCUAGAGCCCGUGGAAGGGUCUUAAAUUCUACAUUAAACGAGAUUCUACUUUCGUCUGUAGACAAUAGGAAAUGAUUUAAGAUUUUAUAAGCAGGGGAGGAGUAGGAUUUGAUUCAACAAAGAUUUAUGAAAUGUUUACUUUUGUACUAGUAUGAACAAGGGCAUAAAGUUGAGUUAAACAUAGUCACUGCCCUUUAGACAAGUACACAAGUGACUGUAAUGCAAGAUGAAAUAAGAAGUGAGUGAAACCCAAGAUGUAGAAAGAAAGGAUUAUAGAAGUCCAAAGGAAAUCCUUAUUUAUUUGAAACAGGAUCUGGCUCUGUCAUCCAGGCUGGAGUGCAGUGGCAUGAUCAUAGCUCACUGCAGCCUUGACCUCCAGUGCUCAGGUGAUCCUCCCACCUCAGCCUCCUGAGUAGCUGGAACUACAGACAUCAUAUAUGUAUAAUACAUGUAUAUUUAUAUAAUACAUAUGCUUCCAAUUAACUACUAUAAAUUUGUAUUAGGCGUGUGUGUGCAUGUGUUUGAGUGGGAAUGAAGGAACUGAUCUAGUGUGUCUGUUCAGGGCCCAGGCACUCAGAUUACUCUUUUUCCCCCUCAGUAUAACUCAAUGAGAUUUGAGUGAAAAAGAUCAAUCUCUGGAGAAGUGUUCUGUUUUCUUAUUUGCUUUGUUUUAUUUUUCUUGUGAAAUACAUUGUAAAUGAAAAGCAUAUAAGUAAUGCAUAUUAACAAUUUAAAUAAUUAUUUUACAAAGAAAACCUGUGUACUCGGCAGCCAACUUAAGAAACAGAAACUUUGAUGGCAGAGGUGGGCGGAUUACUUAAGACCAGGAGUUCGAGACCAGCCUGGCCAACAUGGUGAAACUCCAUCUCUACUAAAAUUACAAAAAUUAGCUGGGUGUGGUGGUGCAUGCUUGUAAUCCCAGCUACUUGGGAGGCUGAGGCAGAAGAACCACUUGAACCCAGGAGGCUGAGCUUGCA
rnacentral:lncRNA from 1 species